ACGCUCGACACCUACGGGGGGCAGCAGUGGGGAAUAUUGCACAAUGGGGGAAACCCUGAUGCAGCAACGCCGCGUGAAGGAAGAAGGUUUUCGGAUCGUAAACUUCUAUCAAUAGGGAAGAAAGAAAUGACGGUACCUAAAUAAGAAGCCCCGGCUAACUACGUGCCAACAGCCGCGGUAAUCUGAGCGGGCUGGCAAGGC
rnacentral:rRNA from 1 species